rnacentral:rRNA from 1 species
GCCCAGACUCCUACGGGAGGCAGCAGUGGGGAAUAUUGGGCAAUGGGCGAAAGCCUGACCCAGCAACGCCGCGUGAAGGAAGAAGGCUUUCGGGUUGUAAACUUCUUUUGACAGGGAAGAGCAGAAGACGGUACCUGUCGAAUAAGCCACGGCUAACUACGUGCCAGCAGCCGCGGUAAUACGUAGGGGGCAAGCGUUAUCCGGAUUUACUGGGUGUAAAGGGAGCGUAGACGGCCAGACAAGUCUGAAGUGAAAAUCCAGCGCUUAACGUUGGAAGUGCUUUGGAAACUGCCGGGCUAGAGUGCAGGAGGGGCAGGCGGAAUUCCUAGUGUAGCGGUGAAAUGCGUAGAUAUUAGGAGGAACACCAGUGGCGAAGGCGACUUUCUGGACUGUACCUGACGCUGAGGCGCGAAAGCGUGGGUAGCGAACGGGAUUAGAUACCCCCGUAG